rnacentral:misc_RNA from 1 species
GAAAUGCGAUAAGUAGUGUGAAUUGCAGAAUUCAGUGAAUCAUCGAAUCUUUGAACGCACAUUGCGCCCUUUGGUAUUCCAAAGGGCAUGCCUAUUCGAGCGUCAUUUGUACCCUCAAGCUUUGCUUGGUGUUGGGCGUCUUGUCUCCAGUUCGCUGGAGACUCGCCUUAAAGUAAUUGGCAGCCGGCCUACUGGUUUCGGAGCGCAGCACAAGUCGCGCUCUCUUCCAGCCAAGGUCAGCAUCCACAAAGCCUUUUUUCAACUUUUGACCUCGGAUCAGGUAGGGAUACCCGCUGAACUUAAGC